CAGCUAGUUGGUGAGGUAAGAGCUUACCAAGGCGUCGAUCGGUAGCUGGUCUGAGAGGACGAUCAGCCACACUGGGAUUGAGAACGGCCCAGACUCCUACGGGGGGCAGCAGUGGGGAAUUUUCCGCAAUGGGGGCAACCCUGACGGAGCAACGCCGCGUGCAGGAGGACGCUUUUCGGAGUGUAAACUGCUUUUCUGUGGGAAGAGCAAGGACGGUACCACAGGAAGAAGCCCCGGCUAACUACGUGCCAGCAGCCGCGGUAAUACGUAGGGGGCGAGCGUUGUCCGGAGUUACUGGGCGUAAAGGGCAUGCAGGCGGUCGUACGCGUUUCGGGUGACAGCGGGUGGCUUAACUACCCGAGUGUUCGAAAGACGGUACGACUUGAGGGCUCGAGAGGGACACGGAAUUCCGGGUGGAGUGGUGAAAUGCGUAGAGAUCCGGAGGAACACCGAAGGCGAAGGCAGUGUCCUGGCGAGUGACUGACGCUGAGGUGCGAAAGCUAGAGGAGCGAACGGGAUUAGAUACCCCGGUAGUCCUAGCCGUAAACGAUGACCACCAGGUGUGGGAGGUAUCGACCCCUUCCGUGCCGGAGUUA
rnacentral:rRNA from 1 species